rnacentral:rRNA from 1 species
AUUGAACGCUGGCGGCAGGCUUAACACAUGCAAGUCGAGCGGGGGAAGGUAGCUUGCUACCGGACCUAGCGGCGGACGGGUGAGUAAUGCUUAGGAAUCUGCCUAUCAGUGGGGGACAACAUCUCGAAAGGGAUGCUAAUACCGCAUACGUCCUACGGGAGAAAGCAGGGGAUCUUCGGACCUUGCGCUAAUAGAUGAGCCUAAGUCGGAUUAGCUAGUUGGUGGGGUAAAGGCCUGCCAAGGCGACGAUCUGUAGCGGGUCUGAGAGGAUGAUCCGCCAGACUGGGACUGAGACACGGCCCAGACUCCUACGGGAGGCAGCAGUGGGGAAUAUUGGACAAUGGGGGGAACCCUGAUCCAGCCAUGCCGCGUGUGUGAAGAAGGCCUUAUGGUUGUAAAGCACUUUAAGCGAGGAGGAGGCUACUCUAGUUAAUACCUAGGGAUAGUGGACGUUACUCGCAGAAUAAGCACCGGCUAACUCUGUGCCAGCCGCCGCGGUAA